rnacentral:misc_RNA from 1 species
UGUGGGAGCGAGCCUGCUCGCGAAGACUCCUGGUUUACUGGAUAACCGCGUUGCUCUUGAGACCUUCGCGAGCAGGCUCGCUCCCACG